AUCUAACUAAUUCAUCACCAUAGGCUGUGUUUUAACACUGGAUAAAAAGAAGAGGCAGAGGGAGCCUAUUCCAUGCACCUCAGCCCAGGCCCUGCACCUAGUCUGCAUUGUCAAUGGAAAGACACAG
ensembl:snoRNA